UUUUGUUUAUGAAUUGUGUUGUUAGUACUGGUCCGGGAACACAAUUAUCCCCCUUCAAUUUUCGUUGUCAAUUUUCGUUCACAAAUAUAGUUCCCUUUAAUUUCAGUAUAUUUUUUUCUUAAAUUUUUUUUUUGCCUUUCCUUUGAAUUUUCCCCCAUUUUUUUGCUAUAAUGUGAAUGUAAGGUCAUCUAAGAGAAUUUCUGUAAAAUUUCUUUUUGAUAUUUUGAGCAGAAAUGAGUGAUUUGGUUAGGUAAACAUAGGUGGGAUUUCCCCUUUUCGGAAGCUCUCUGGCUUAACCCAUACUGGUGUCCUUGUGUUUAGAAUU
rnacentral:lncRNA from 1 species